rnacentral:lncRNA from 1 species
UACGUUUGAAAUCUCUACUGAAACUCUACAGAAAAUUCCUCUCAAACCCUAGCCACCUCCUUUCUCUAUCUCUUUUACAUAAGGCUCUGGUCGCUCAGUUUACACAUUAAACACCUCCUGUACCCUAUUUUAGCUAUCGUUUCUCUACGGAUCGAUUGAACUGACUUAGGCAUCGGAGGGCCUUUGGCCAACACCCCCCGGGUGUGGUCCUCUUAUUUGUUCUAUUUUGCAUGGAGAAAGAGGCGGCGAAGAAGAAAAGGGAAUCUUUCAAACCGAAUAUUCUCGUGGGGGAAAUUUGCUCCCACAACCACCACCACCUUCACCUCCAUCUCUUUCACCAUCACCCUCACUCCACUACCACCACUACUACCACCACAUGAUUAGCAUAUAACACUUUCAAC